rnacentral:rRNA from 1 species
UACGUAGGGUGCAAGCGUUUGUCCGGAAUUAUUGGGCGUAAAGAGCUCGUAGGCGGUUUGUUGCGUCGGAUGUGAAAUCCCCAGGCUUAACCUGGGAACUGCAUCCGAUACUGGAUGGCUUGAAUUCGGGAGAGGGAUGCAGAAUUCCAGGUGUAGCGGUGAAAUGCGCAGAUAUCAGGAGGAACACCGGUGGCGAAGGCGGUUCUCUGGGCAUGACCUGACGCUGAGGAGCGAAAGUGUGGGGAGCGAACAGG